CGCGUAGGCGGUUUAGUAAGUCAGAUGUGAAAGCCCCGGGCUCAACCUGGGAACUGCAUUUGAUACUGCUGGGCUAGAGUAUGGUAGAGGGAAGUGGAAUUCCAGGUGUAGCGGUGAAAUGCGUAGAUAUCUGGAGGAACAUCAGUGGCGAAGGCGACUUUCCUGGACCAAUACUGACGCUGAGGUGCGAAAGCGUGGGUAGCAAACA
rnacentral:rRNA from 1 species